rnacentral:siRNA from 1 species
UCGUUUUAAGUAUUAGGGUUUCA